AACGUGAACUCUUUGGGGGACACACUUAAACCAUAGCAGCGGCCAAGCUGUCUUGUGUUUCUGGUGCAUCUUGUGUGGAAGAAAAUCCCUGCCCCUCCCCCAGUGUUUUGCUAAUUUCUUUAAUAUCAGAAGACAGCUGGAUUCUCAUUUCUGCUUCUGCAUUCAGUCUAUUGUGAUAUAGCAUAUCAUGUAACUUCUGAAAAACUUCACUGUACACAGAUGCUGACCUCACAGACUCCCUGAAAGGAUCUCCAUGACCUCUAUGGUUCCUUAGACUGCACUUUGAGAACUAUUGACGUACAGGGAAAAAUGCUCUUGGUGUUCCAGUUAAGCACAGAAUAAAAUCUGGACUGUGUCAGUUUGUAAAGAUCUUAUGUCUACUUGGUCAUCAGCCAAGAAGGGAUUCCGAAGAUAGAAGAGGAGGCAUCAACACCGUGAACAUCAUGGCUGAGUUAUUUUGUGAGAGGGAUAAGCCUAAAGUAAAAACCUUGGAUUUGCCUCUGUCCUUGAACAUGCUAUCUGGAAAGAGUUUUCUUAAAAGUAUUGUUGUGAACACAUCCAUUUUCCCAGUAUAGUUGAAUGCAGGGUUUAAUAAAUGGAAUGAAUCUAGUUUUA
rnacentral:lncRNA from 1 species